AUUGAACGCUGGCGGAAUGCUUUACACAUGCAAGUCGAGCGGCAGCGCGGGGCAACCUGGCGGCGAGCGGCGAACGGGUGAGUAAUACAUCGGAACGUACCCAGUUGUGGGGGAUAGCCCGGCGAAAGCCGGAUUAAUACCGCAUACGACCUGAGGGUGAAAGGGGGGGAUCGCAAGACCUCUCGCAGUUGGAGCGGCCGAUGGCGGAUUAGCUAGUUGGUAGGGUAAAGGCCUACCAAGGCGACGAUUCGUAGCGGGUCUGAGAGGACGACCCGACACACUGGAACUGAGAGACGGUCCAGACUCCUACGGGAGGCAGCAGUGGGGAAUUUUGGACAAUGGGGGCAACCCUGAUCCAGCCAUUCCGCGUGAGUGAAGAAGGCCUUCGGAUUGUAAAGCUCUUUCGGCAGGAACGAAACGGUCCUUUCUAAUACAGAGGGCUAAUGACGGUACCUGAAGAAGAAGCACCGGCUAACUACGUGCCAGCAGCCGCAGUAAUAC
rnacentral:rRNA from 1 species